rnacentral:rRNA from 1 species
AUUGAACGCUGGCGGCAGGCCUAACACAUGCAAGUCGAGCGGAUGAAGGGAGCUUGCUCCUGGAUUCAGCGGCGGACGGGUGAGUAAUGCCUAGGAAUCUGCCUGGUAGUGGGGGAUAACGUCCGGAAACGGGCGCUAAUACCGCAUACGCCCUGAGGGAGAAAGAGGGGGAUCUUCGGACCUCACGCUAUCAGAUGAGCCUAGGUCGGAUUAGCUAGUUGGUGGGGUAAAGGCCUACCAAGGCGACGAUCCGUAACUGGUCUGAGAGGAUGACCAGUCACACUGGAACUGAGACACGGUCCAGACUCCUACGGGAGGCAGCAGUGGGGAAUAUUGGGCAAUGGGCGAAAGCCUGAUCCAGCCAUGCCGCGUGUGUGAAGAAGGUCUUCGGAUUGUAAAGCACUUUAAGUUGGGAGGAAGGGCAGUAAGUUAAUACCUUGCUGUUUUGACGUUACCAACAGAAUAAGCACCGGCUAACUUCGUG